rnacentral:lncRNA from 1 species
AUUAGAAGGCAUUUUAUCUUUCAGGAGAGGUAGUUCUCAUGAUGUAAUUGGAUGAGGGGGAUGAUCAUGAGGUUGAUGAGAAGUGAUGUAACAGAAAGGGAGGAGGAAGAGGCAAAAACCAAAGCCAUGGGAUCAAGAGCUGUGAAGCUAAGAUGCUCUAAUACCAUAUAACAAAGUGAAGUGGGAGCAAAAAAUGACAUACCUUCCUAUUUUGGAGGUCACAUUUAUUUAUACCAGUAUAUGCAGGUCUUUGGUUACAACA